GACGAACGCUGGCGGCGUGCUUAACACAUGCAAGUCGAACGGAAAGGCCCUGCUUUUGUGGGGUGCUCGAGUGGCGAACGGGUGAGUAACACGUGAGUAACCUGCCCUUGACUUUCGGAUAACUUCAGGAAACUGGGGCUAAUACCGGAUAGGAGCUCCUGCUGCAUGGUGGGGGUUGGAAAGUUUCGGCGGUUGUGGAUGGACUCGCGGCUUAUCAGCUUGUUGGUGGGGUAGUGGCUUACCAAGGCUUUGACGGGUAGCCGGCCUGAGAGGGUGACCGGCCACAUUGGGACUGAGAUACGGCGCAGACUCGUACGGGAGGCAGCAGUGGGGAAUAUUGCACAAUGGGCGGAAGCCUGAUGCAGCAACGCCGCGUGCGGGAUAACGGCCUUCGGGUUGUAAACCGCUUUCGCCUGUGACGAAGCGUGAUUGACGGUAAUGGGUAAAGAAGCACCGGCUAACUACGUG
rnacentral:rRNA from 1 species